AUAAAGUUUGAUUAUUUCUUUAUUUCUUGUAGUAGUAUUGAGUUUGUAUGAAAGUCAAAGCGAGUAAAUAAUAAAAGUUUAAGAUAAUUAUUAAGUGUUAAAUGUAGUAAAUAUACUAUAAACUAUUAAAUCUCAGCAUAUAAUAUUAGAUAAUUUAAUAAUUUAAGAUCUAGUAAUACGUUAAAGCUUGAUCAAUAUUGUGCCAGCAGUCGCGGUUACACUUUAAAGUUAAAUAAGAAAUAUUGGGCUAUUGUUAAGUGAAAUAAUUUAAUUGGAAAAAAUCUAAAAGGUAAAAAAGUGAAAUUGGAUUAUCUUAUUAUAGAAUUAUGAAAAAUGAUCAAUUAAAGCUGAAGCAAUAGAAUACUGGAUUUAAACUAGGAUUAGAUACCCUAUUAUACCUGAGAAUAAUUAAUAUAAGCCUAAGUAGUAUUAGAUAUAUUCUAUAAAUUUGAAGAAUUUGGCGGUAAUUUAGUCUAGUCAGAGGAACCUGUUUUUGAAUCGAUAAACCACGAAGAAUCUUACUCAAUUUUGUAAAGUAUGUAUACCAUCAUUAUUAGGUAAUUUUUAUAAAACAAAUUACUAGAACUUAAUAAUGUUAAAUAUAUUAGAUCAAGGUGCAGCUUAUAAUUGAGUUAAAAUGGGUUACAAUAAAAUUUAUUUAUUACGGAUAAUUAAAUGUAAAUUAUUUAGAAGGAGGAUUUGAUUGUAAAAUAGAUUUAAUAUGUCUAUUAGAUAUAAGCUCUAAAUUAUGUACAUAUCGCCCGUCGCUUUCAUUUUAAGAUGAGAUAAGUCGUAACAUAGUAGACUUACUGGAAAGUGAGUCUGGAUAGGA
rnacentral:ncRNA from 1 species